UGAGGAAUCGUGCGCAAUGGGCGAAAGCCUGACGCCGCGACACCGCGUGAGGGAAGAAGCUCUUCGGAGUGUAAACCUCUUUUUUGUGGGACGAUUAUGACGGUACCAUAAGAAUAAGCCACGGCAAACUUCGUGCCAGCAGCCGCGGUAAUACGAGGGUGGCAAGCGUUAUCCGGAUUUAUUGGGCGUAAAGAGCGCGUAGGCGGUUUUAUAAGUCCUAACUUAAAUCCUAUUGCCCAACAAUAGGACCUGUCAGGAUACUGUAAAGCUUGUGGAUAGCAGGGGUAAGCGGAAUUCCCGGUGUAGGAGUAAAAUCCAUUGAUAUCGGGAGGAACACCAAUGGCGAAGGCAGCUUACUAGGCUAUUUCAGACGCUAAGGCGCGAAAGCGUGGGGAGCGAACGGG
rnacentral:rRNA from 1 species